UCUCUUCGGAUUUAACUUUUCUUUGUUUUUUAUAUAGUAAAGAAUUAAAAAAAAUAUAAUAUUAACUAUUGGUCAAUGCUGAUUUCAAUAAUACUGUCUAAAUUUUUCGACAUGUGGUAGUUUAAUUACCAGUAUAACUUUAUUUAGUAAAGUUCUGGUGGAUCAAAGAUCGAGGAAUGAUUUGGUUUUAACUGGUUUGCAUCUUAUGAACGAAGUUCAUAAUAUGAUUUAAAUUGAUGAUUUAUAGUUACACCUAUUGAAAUUCUGUAUCUCAUUGAUAUCCUGGCUUAUCAAUACGAUAUCCUGUAAAUCCACUCACACACAUAAAAUUUAUUCACACACAUAAAUCCU